rnacentral:rRNA from 1 species
UACGUAGGGUGCGAGCGUUAAUCGGAAUUACUGGGCGUAAAGCGUGCGCAGGCGGCUUGCCAAGUCAGAUGUGAAAGCCCCGGGCUCAACCCGGGAACUGCGUUUGAAACUGGCAGGCUAGAGUUUGGCAGAGGGGGGUGGAAUUCCACGUGUAGCAGUGAAAUGCGUAGAGAUGUGGAGGAACACCGAUGGCGAAGGCAGCCCCCCUGGGAUAACACUGACGCUCAUGCACGAAAGCGUGGGGAGCAAACAGG